UAUCUACUUUCUCCGUCUGAAAAUACUUGUCAUCAAAAUGGGUAAAAAGAGAUGUGUCUAGAACUAAAAUACAUCUAGAUACAUCCACUUUUGUUCAUUUUGAUGACAAGUAUUUUCGGACGAAGGAAGUAUCAU
rfam:Triticum aestivum genome assembly, contig: Triticum_aestivum_CS42_TGACv1_scaffold_640839_T_6DL-0.194302_7DS-0.131771